UACGUUGGACAAUGCCAACUUCAUCAUUCUCCUCGAUCUUCUGGAGACCCGUGAGUUUAUUUCCUCGACGAAUGGGCGUUCCCAAGGACUAUUCCGAUUUUAGAACCUUAGCAAUGGUCUCGUAGAAUUGAAAUAUGGAGGAAUAUGAUACAUGGCUCAUUAGUCGAGCUGAUCUGUCAAGGAUCCAUAGCUGUACAAUGAAGAGGAAGCUCUCGGUUCGACGGGGAAAGAAGAUAGCGUAAUUUUAUGCGAAUUCCUUCAACAAAUUUACGCCCACCAAGAGAGGAGGAAGAGUCGUGUCGCUCGCGAGCGCGAUUCUACGCCAGGCAAAAGCUGCGUCGGUUUAUUUUCGACUUGGAAAAGUUUAAAGUUAGACAACCGGUAGGACGUGCCUACUAGCGUACUAGCGUACAAUGUUACAGUGAGCCAAGUUGUAGAUCGACAAAUUUAACAAUACACGGUUUAUGGUGAAUUGAAUUUCUAUGUUGUCAAUAUUAAAAAUAUAAAAAUGCAACUUCAAUAAUUUUUUAAUUUACUACAAUAAAAUUGUAUCUAUGAAAAAAAUUGAAAAUGAUGGUAUUCAAAUUAUCGUUCACGCGAAUAAAAGAAUGAAAAGAUCAUAGGAAGUACAUGUGAAAGAAGAUUAAAGCAAUUGGACUGGAGGAACGAAGAUGGAUUUUUGAUCCACGAGGAAAAUAUUACGAGGCGAGAAGAGCAAACGAAGUGGAGAGGAUAUUGCGCAACGCUUUGAAACGGCUCCUGCGGCACGCGGCUAGCAAGAAAUCUAAAACAGCGGGUCGAAGGUUGCGAUAGGUUCGCACUUUGCUUCGUGAUCGUAAACACGUAACGACAUGCGUGUUAUGCCGACUGAUGAACACCGAGAAAACCGGCAUCUAUUAUUAACUCCUCGCUCUAUGCCACGGCGAUUAAUCUUUUAUCGAUGGAUGCUUAUUCAUUGGAUACUAUGGUUUAGAAGGAUUUUUUUUAUUAAAAGAAUUUAUGAAGAAUUAUAAAAUAAUUCGUUACAAAAAUCAAAUGUUAA